rnacentral:rRNA from 1 species
CCUACGGGGGGCAGCAGUGGGGAAUAUUGGACAAUGGGGGCAACCCUGAUCCAGCAAUUCUGUGUGCACGAGGAAGGUUUUCGGAUUGUAAAGUGCUUUCAGCAGGGAAGAAGGAAGUGACGGUACCUGCAGAAGAAGCGACGGCUAAAUACGUGCCAGCAGCCGCGGUAAUACGUAUGUCGCAAGCGUUAUCCGGAAUUAUUGGGCAUAAAGGGCAUCUAGGCGGCCAGGCAAGUCUGGGGUGAAAACUUGCGGCUCAACCGCAAGCCUGCCCUGGAAACUGCCUGGCUAGAGUGCUGGAGAGGUGGACGGAACUGCACGAGUAGAGGUGAAAUUCGUAGAUAUGUGCAGGAAUGCCGAUGAUGAAGAUAGUUCACUGGACGGCAACUGACGCUGAAGUGCGAAAGCUGG